rnacentral:tRNA from 1 species
GGAGAGGUGUCCGAGCUGGUCGAAGGAGCAUGCCUGGAGAGCAUGUAAACGAGUAAUCGUUUCCUGGGUUCGAAUCCCAGCCUCUCCG